AGAUCAUCAUGGUGACUUACAAGCAACUCACUGUAUUUUGGUGUCAGAUUAUCUAAAUUUCUAAUUCAGUAACGAAAAAUUUUUAGAUGUAGUCAAGUAUUGAUUAAGUCAGUGUAUGAGUCAAGAUGGGAUUAACUCAUUCGAAUCAUAGGAGUAAAUGCAUCAGUGUAUUUUAAUUUAGUAAAACUUUGGCUAUGAUAAUCUAUGUGAUGGAUUUGAAAGAUUGAGAUACAAUAUGGUUGACUAUUCUAGAGUU
rnacentral:lncRNA from 1 species